GGUGCAGUGGCCAAGCGGAAAGGCAUCACUCUUGUAAACCUAAAAUCAUCGGUUCAACCCCCAUCUGUGCCU